CAGAUAGCAUGCCAUGUCUAAGUAUAAGCAAUUAUACCGUGAAACUGCGAAUGGCUCAUUAAAUCAGUUAUCGUUUAUUUGAUAGUACCUUACCACUUGGAUAACCGUGGUAAUUCUAGAGCUAAUACAUGCUAAAAACCCCGACUUCGGAAGGGGUGUGUUUAUUAGAUAAAAAACCAAUGCCCUUCGGGGCUCUUUGGUGAUUCAUGAUAACCUAACGGAUCGCAUGGCCUUGCGCCGGCGACGGUUCAUUCAAAUUUCUGCCCUAUCAACUUUCGAUGGUAAGGUAUUGGCUUACCAUGGUUUCAACGGGUAACGGGGAAUUAGGGUUCGAUUCCGGAGAGGGAGCCUGAGAAACGGCUACCACAUCCAAGGAAGGCAGCAGGCGCGCAAAUUACCCAAUCCCGACACGGGGAGGUAGUGACAAUAAAUACUGAUACAGGGCUCUUUUGGGUCUUGUAAUUGGAAUGAGUACAAUUUAAACCCCUUAACGAGGAACAAUUGGAGGGCAAGUCUGGUGCCAGCAGCCGCGGUAAUUCCAGCUCCAAUAGCGUAUAUUAAAGUUGUUGCAGUUAAAAAGCUCGUAGUUGAAACUUGGGUCUGGCUGGCGGGUCCGCCUCACCGCGUGCACUUGUCCGGCUGGACCUUUCCUUCUGGAGAACCUCAUGCCCUUCACUGGGUGUGUUGGGGAACCAGGACUUUUACUUUGAAAAAAUUAGAGUGUUCAAAGCAGGCCUUUGCUCGAAUACGUUAGCAUGGAAUAAUAGAAUAGGACGUGCGGUCCUAUUUUGUUGGUUUCUAGGAUCGCCGUAAUGAUUAAUAGGGAUAGUCGGGGGCAUCAGUAUUCAAUUGUCAGAGGUGAAAUUCUUGGAUUUAUUGAAGACUAACUACUGCGAAAGCAUUUGCCAAGGAUGUUUUCAUUAAUCAGUGAACGAAAGUUAGGGGAUCGAAGACGAUCAGAUACCGUCGUAGUCUUAACCGUAAACUAUGCCGACUAGGGAUCGGGCGAUGUUUCUAUCUUGACUCGCUCGGCACCUUACGAGAAAUCAAAGUUUUGGUCUGGGG
rnacentral:rRNA from 1 species